UACGUAGGGUGCGAGCGUUGUCCGGAAUUAUUGGGCGUAAAGGGCUCGUAGGCGGUCUGUCGCGUCGGGAGUGAAAACUCAGGGCUUAACCCUGAGCCUGCUUCCGAUACGGGCAGACUAGAGGUAUGCAGGGGAGAACGGAAUUCCUGGUGUAGCGGUGGAAUGCGCAGAUAUCAGGAGGAACACCAAUGGCGAAGGCAGCUCGCUGGGACGUGACUGACGCUGAGACGCGAAAGCGUGGGGAGCAAACAGG
rnacentral:rRNA from 1 species